GGGGCUGAUCGGUUUCGACGUUGGGACCGCUUGGCGAUUCGUGCGACCGGAGUUGCUCAGACUCCUAAAACGGGGCACAAAAACAACUGCCGAUGAGCAGUACGCCCUCGCCGCCUAGUCACAACUAGGUAGUAGAGAGCACCAGUGACCGGUGACGGCACACGGGGCCUGGCCGCUGCAGCCCGGCAACAGAAGCAGCGGCGGACCGUAGGGAGAGACCACUGACGGCGGGAAAGACCGCUGGCAUCGAGGAAAGACUCGGCGGCGGGCACCUUGCGUGCCCUACCGACCCGGCGGUGCGCCAGCCGUAGCGGCGCAGUCUCGGGAACGGUCGUAGCGCGGACGUCGACCGCUCGACGGACGAGGGUUCGAUUCCCUCCAGCUCCACGC
rnacentral:tmRNA from 1 species